CUAAUUACUCCUAUGUCAAUUUAUUCAAAAUGGUGGACAUUGUAGAAAUAACAAGACAAUUUUUUAUUGAAAAAACAUUCAAAUAGCAAUCAGAAUAACUAUGGAUUAUGUAUGGAUUAAUAAAAUAUAUCUGACCAUCAACAGAAUACGCAAAAGGUAAACAUGAACACGUCAGAGGGCUUGUUCGAAGACCGUCAGUACCAGGUGGACGCGGCCAUUGUGCGCAUCAUGAAGAGGUGUAAGAGUCUCGAACACUACUCUCUUAUAUCAAUGCUCACGAAUCAACUGAAAUUUCCUGUCAAGUCGGCUGACUUGAAGAGGAGAAUUGAAAGUUUGAUCGAAAGAGAAUAUAUGGAGAGAGACAAGGAUAACCCCAAUUUGUACAACUACGUACCGUAAAUAUACUAUUUUCAAGUUUUAGAACUGUGGGUUGUUUCCCUUUAAUUGAAGGGGUUGUCUUCCCUAAACUAUUGAUUUCAUUAUAUUUCAAUGAAGAACUUUUUGCUCGAAAGCAAGAAAAAUUCAGGACUCCAUUAGUAUGCCAUAUUUUCCUCUAAAGAACUUUUAAAAAGAAGAUUUAAAUAUUGUUCAGUAGCUGCACUGGUUUCAAUAACAGUGUAUAUGUUUACUACCAGUACGUGCUUUACAAACCGUACCGUAGUAUUUUGUCUAUGUGGCGUAUUUUCAUGUAAAGAACUUUUUUUAAAGGAGGUUUAAAUAUUUUUCAGUAGAUGCACAGGUUGAAAUAACUGUGUACAUUUUUUACUACCCGAUCAUGCUUUUCAAACCGUCUCGUAGCAUUGUGUCGAUGGAUAUCUACGUUUUUUGGAGCUUUUCACAUAUUGGGGUGGAGACUUGUGCAAAUAAGAAUUUAUUAAACACGUGUAUUGUUCAAUACUUUGCUUAGUUCCAUUAUCGUUCAGUUCCUUUUUUAAACAGAAAGAUUUCAUUGCUGAUUUUUUUUAAAUGUGUCUUGUUCUGAGAAAACAGGGCUUAAUGCAUGUGCGUAAAGUGUCGUCCCAGAUUAACCUGUGCAGUCUGCACAUGGUAAUCAGGGACGACACUUUCCGCUUUUAUGGUAUUUUAAGUUUCAAGGAAGUCCCCUUACCGAAAAUCAAGUUUAGGCGGAAAGUGUCGUCCUUCGUUAGCCUGUGUGGACUGCACAGGCUAAUCUGGGACGACACGUUACGCAAAUGCACUAAACCCUAGUUUUUCAGAACGCGACUCAUAUCAUUAUGUACAUAAACAAUGUGUUAAGAGGUUGAAGAUGGAUAAAACAUGUGUAGGUAGGUGUUCUCAGGUGUUCAUUACUUUAACCGUGGCAUUGAUACGAACUGCAUAUCACUUUUAUAAUGUACUGACUUUGUUUUCAGUUUCAAUUUCCUUUGAAAAAAACAUAACAAAAACAACACCACCAACGUUUCUUUAAUAAAAAAUAUUCUAAGCGUGAGUUUUUUUGUCUUUAAAUUGUCUAAAGCAGUCAUUAAAGACCAUACUUAUAUUGAAAAUAGAACGCAUAAGUAAGUAAGUAAGUAAUUGAAAAUAGAAACUUUGUUGAUUCUAAUUUAUUGAAGCUUGAACAAUGCCCUACUAAGACAGGUUUUAUGAUUUUUUUUAAAGCUGUGCUUAUCAUACAUAUGAGUUAUUUGGUUCUAAAACGACGGUAUUAUCUUUACAUAUCUUUACAAUAACACGCAUGUAUAAUGCACUUUCUGUGAACAAAAACUCAAUUUCUUAAAAGGUUUUGUUGUUUUAAAGUUCUUGAACACUAUGAGACUAGCCCCAAGUAAAAAAGAUACUAGUAUUGCAUGUAUUAAAUUUUAAAUGUGACGUAUGUCUAAAGAAUAAAGCAGCGCUCUGAGAA